UCCUUUCGCUGGGGAGCAAGAGAAGUGGGCGAAUAGUCUACUGAUUGAGAGUACCUGGUAAAGAAGCACCGGCUAACUCCGUGCCAGCAGCUGCGGUAAUACGGAGGGUGCGAGCAUUAAUCGGAUUUAUUGGGCGUAAAGGGCGCGUAGGCUGGACGAUAAGUCAGACGUGAAAUCUAAGGGCUUAACCUUUGGGCUGCGUUUGAAACUGUGGUUCUAGAAGGGUAGGCGGAGAGAACGGAAUUCCACAAGUAUCGGUGGAAUGCGUAGAUAUGUGGAGGAACACCUGUGUGCGAAUCGCGGUUCUCUAGCUUAUACCUGACGCUGAGGCGCGUAAGCAAGGGGACCGAACAGGAUUAGAUACCCUGGUAGUCCUUGCCGCAAACGAUGCACACUUGGUGUAGCUGGAAUCAACUCUGGCUGUGCCGUAGCCAACGUGUUAAGUGUGCCGCCUGGGGAGUACGCUCGCAAGGGUGAAACUCAAAAGAAUUGACGGGGACCCGCACAAGCAGUGGAACAUGUGGUUUAAUUCGAGGCAACGCGAAGAACCUUACCCAGGUUUGACAUGCAGUGGGCGGCACUAGAGAUAGUGUUUUCCUUCGGGACUGCUGCACAGGUGCUGCAUGGCUGUCGUCAGCUCGUGCCGUGAGGUGUUGGGUUAAGUCCCGCAACGAGCGCAACCCCUAUUGUUAGUUGCCAUCAAGUGAAGUUGGGCACUCUAGCGAGACUGCCCGGGUUAACCGGGAGGAAGGUUGGGAUGACGUCAAGUCCGCAUGGCCCUUAUGCCUGGGGCUACACACGUGUUACAAUGGUCGGUACAGAGGCCGGCGAAGUCGAGAGAUGGAGCAAAUCUUUAAAGCCGAUCUCAGUUCGGAUUGCAGUCUGCAAUUUGACUGCAUGAAGUUGGAAUUGCUAGUAAUGGCGUGUCAGCAACAACGCCGUGAUACGUUCCCGGGUCUUGUACACACCGCCCGUCACAUCAUGGGAGUUGGUUUUACCCGAAGUCGCUGACUUA
rnacentral:rRNA from 1 species